rnacentral:tRNA from 1 species
GGGGAUUUAGCUCAGUGAUAGAGCGCUUGCCUAGCAAGCACAAGGCCCUGGGUUCCAUCCCCAGCUCCG